rnacentral:rRNA from 1 species
AGAGUUUGAUCAUGGCUCAGAAUGAACGCUGGCGGCGUGCUUAACACAUGCAAGUCGAGCGAGGCGGAAGGGGGCAACUCCUUUCCAGUCGAGCGGCGGACGGGUGAGUAACACGUGGGUAACCUGCCCGGAAGUGGGGAAUACCUCGGAGAAAUUCGAGCUAAUACCGCAUGACAUCUUCGGGACGAAAGUCCUGGCGAUCAAAGCGGGGUCGCAAGAUCUCGCGCUACCGGAUGGGCCCGCGCCCGAUUAGCUAGUUGGUGAGGUAACGGCUCACCAAGGCUUCGAUCGGUAACCGGCCUGAGAGGGCGAUCGGUCACACCGGAACUGAGACACGGUCCGGACUCCUACGGGAGGCAGCAGUGGGGAAUCUUGCGCAAUGGGCGAAAGCCUGACGCAGCAACGCCGCGUGGAGGAUGAAGGCCCUUGGGUUGUAAACUCCUGUCGGCUGGGAAGAAAUCGUUCGUGGCUCAUACCCACGGACGUUGACUGUACCAGCAAAGGAAGCCCCGGCUAACUCUGUGCCAGCAGCCGCGGUAAUACAGAGGGGGCUAGCGUUAUUCGGAAUUAUUGGGCGUAAAGGGCGCGUAGGCGGCCAUGCGUGUCUUCCGUGAAAUCCCUCGGCUUAACUGAGGACGUGCGGAAGAAACUGCAAGGCUCGAGUCCGGGAGAGGGGGGUGGAAUUCCCAGUGUAGCGGUGAAAUGCGUAGAUAUUGGGAGGAACACCGGUGGCGAAGGCGGCCCCCUGGACCGGUACUGACGCUGAGGCGCGAAAGCGUGGGUAGCAAACGGGAUUAGAUACCCCGGUAGUCCACGCCGUAAACGAUGGGCACUUGGUGUCGCGGGUAUCGACCCCUGCGGUGCCGAAGCUAACGCAUUAAGUGCCCCGCCUGGGGAGUACGGUCGCAAGGCUGAAACUCAAAGGAAUUGACGG